CUUCAAGGUCACUCCGUCUUACAGACUGGAAAAGGUCAUUGACCCGACCUGCUCAGAGACCUGAUCGUGUCGCCCAAUGAGACUGCUUGCUGCUACAGUCUUAUGAGCACUAUUAACCACAUCGGCUCCUCAACUCAACGUGGACACUACAACUGUGACGGGGUGGAUCCAGAUGUUGGACUUGAGGACCCAACUGACCGCUGGUUCACUUAUGAUGACUCAAGGGUUACAGAAACAAGCAGUGACUAUGUGUGACUGGCGGAAAGAAACUGCC